rnacentral:rRNA from 1 species
GAUGAACGCUGGCGGCGUGCCUAAUACAUGCAAGUCGAGCGAACGGACGAGAAGCUUGCUUUUCUGAUGUUAGCGGCGGACGGGUGAGUAACACGUGGAUAACCUACCUAUAAGACUGGGAUAACUUCGGGAAACCGGAGCUAAUACCGGAUAAUAUUUUGAACCGCAUGGUUCAAAAGUGAAAGACGGUCUUGCUGUCACUUAUAGAUGGAUCCGCGCUGCAUUAGCUAGUUGGUAAGGUAACGGCUUACCAAGGCAACGAUGCAUAGCCGACCUGAGAGGGUGAUAGGCCACACUGGAACUGAGACACGGUCCAGACUCCUACGGGAGGCAGCAGUAGGGAAUCUUCCGCAAUGGGCGAAAGCCUGACGGAGCAACGCCGCGUGAGUGAUGAAGGUCUUCGGAUCGUAAAACUCUGUUAUUAGGGAAGAACAUAUGUGUAAGUAACUGUGCACAUCUUGACGGUACCUAAUCAGAAAGCCACGGCUAACUACGU